ensembl:snoRNA
GGUCUCUUGUGAUGUAUUGCACUGGGCUCAGAACAUCUGUGUUGACAGAAGUGCGGCUCGGCCCCUGACAAGGCCGAGUCUGAGGAGACG